rnacentral:rRNA from 1 species
UACGUAGGGUGCGAGCGUUGCCCGGAUUUAUUGGGCGUAAAGGGCGCGUAGGCGGCUCGGCACGUCCGUUGUGAAAUCGCCCGGCUCAACUGGGCGGGGUCAGCGGAUACGGUCGAGCUUGAGCAAGCUAGGGGGUAAUGGAAUUCCCGGUGUAGUGGUGGAAUGCGUAGAUAUCGGGAGGAACACCCGUGGCGAAGGCGGCAUCCUGGACCAACACUGACGCUGAGGAGCGAAAGCCAGGGGAGCAAACGGG